GACGAACGCUGUCGGCGUGCUUAACACAUGCAAGUCGAACGGAAAGGCCCUGCUUUUGUGGGGUGCUCGAGUGGCGAACGGGUGAGUAACACGUGAGUAACCUGCCCUUGACUUUGGGAUAACUUCAGGAAACUGGGGCUAAUACCGGAUAGGAGCUCCUGCUGCAUGGUGGGGGUUGGAAAGUUUCGGCGGUUGGGGAUGGACUCGCGGCUUAUCAGCUUGUUGGUGGGGUAGUGGCUUACCAAGGCUUUGACGGGUAGCCGGCCUGAGAGGGUGACCGGCCACAUUGGGACUGAGAUACGGCCCAGACUCCUACGGGAGGCAGCAGUGGGGAAUAUUGCACAAUGGGCGGAAGCCUGAUGCAGCAACGCCGCGUGCGGGAUGACGGCCUUCGGGUUGUAAACCGCUUUCGCCUGUGACGAAGCGUGAGUGACGGUAAUGGGUAAAGAAGCACCGGCUAACUACGUGCCAGCAGCCGCGGUGAUACGUAGGGUGCGAGCGUUGUCCGGAUUUAUUGGGCGUAAAGGGCUCGUAGGUGGUUGAUCGCGUCGGAAGUGUAAUCUUGGGGCUUAACCCUGAGCGUGCUUUCGAUACGGGUUGACUUGAGGAAGGUAGGGGAGAAUGGAAUUCCUGGUGGAGCGGUGGAAUGCGCAGAUAUCAGGAGGAACACCAGUGGCGAAGGCGGUUCUCUGGGCCUUUCCUGACGCUGAGGAGCGAGAGCGUGGGGAGCGAACAGGCUUAGAUACCCUGGUAGUCCACGCUGUAAACGGUGGGUACUAGGUGUGGGGUCCAUUCCACGGGUUCCGUGCCGUAGCUAACGCUUUAAGUACCCCGCCUGGGGAGUACGGCCGCAAGGCUAAAACUCAAAGGAAUUGACGGGGCCCCGCACAAGCGGCGGAGCAUGCGGAUUAAUUCGAUGCAACGCGUAGAACCUUACCUGGGUUUGACAUGGAUCGGGAGUGCUCAGAGAUGGGUGUGCCUCUUUUGGGGUCGGUUCACAGGUGGUGCAUGGCUGUCGUCAGCUCAUGUCGUGAGAUGUUGGGUUAAGUCCCGCAACGAGCGCAACCCUUGUUCACUGUUGCCAGCACGUUAUGGUGGGGACUCAGUGGAGACCGCCGGGGUCAACUCGGAGGAAGGUGGGGAUGACGUCAAGUCAUCAUGCCCCUUAUGUCCAGGGCUUCACGCAUGCUACAAUGGCUGGUACAGAGAGUGGCGAGCCUGUGAGGGUGAGCGAAUCUCGGAAAGCCGGUCUCAGUUCGGAUUGGGGUCUGCAACUCGACCUCAUGAAGUCGGAGUCGCUAGUAAUCGCAGAUCAGCAACGCUGCGGUGAAUACGUUCCCGGG
rnacentral:rRNA from 1 species